GGUGUUACUGGAUUUAGGCCCCAUGCUCGUCCAGUAUAAAUUGUUUCUGAACCGAUUCCAAUGCUGAGGAGGAAGUUGCUCAUACCUCCAGCAAGCAAUUCUCAGAUGCCAGCAGGGUGUCCAGAAAUUCAACUCAAAUCUGACACUGCCUACUUGGAGAUGGAGUCGAUUCCAUUCCUCGUGGUCAUCUGUCCUGCAAUCUCAGUUGUCUGCUUCUAGAAGCUGCCCACAUUUCCUAGGCUCGUCACCCCAGCUCCUAAUUAAAAGCCAGCUGUACAGCAUCUUCCAAGCCCUGCCUCUGUUUCUGAACCUACUGCUGCCAUCUGUGAGGAUCCUCAUGCCCAUGGCUCGUGCUGGACUCCAGGAUAAUCCAGGAUAUUCUUCACAUCUCAAUUCCCUUUCCACUUCCCGCAGCCAAGUGAAUCAAUGAUGGCCAAAGUCCUG